UGAUAUGUAACUUUAACUCCUAAAAUAUGCUUGUAGAAAGAUCUAGUGAAAUGAACGUCCAACAGUUGCCCAUCAAAAAGUGCUUUCCCCACAACUCUCCCAACAAAUUUGAAGUAUGACAAAUGUUCUGUUUGGUAAACAGAGUUGGGGUUUGGCUGAAAAGUAGAUUCAUUUCCCACUGUUGUAAAAAGCAGUGCUCCCUUGUCAAAAAUAACCCUGGACAACAACUGAUACCAUUCCCUUGUAAGUCCGCCAGCAUCAAUACCUUCCUCUCCUUGAAAAUGAACAGUCAGCCUCCCUUUCAAAUCUUGGUUUGACCUCAUGCGUAGUUGGUUAUAUGAAUCUUCGAGAAUGUAAGCUCUUCUUACAGAAAUUCUCAAAGGACUUUGAUGGUGAUCAUGCUGAUGCUUUAUUUUUGAUCUAAAGUGAGAUCUUUUGUUGUCAAAAUCAACAAAACGGGGAACCUUCAGCAUGAGUGAGAAGGA
rnacentral:misc_RNA from 1 species